rnacentral:miRNA from 1 species
GCAGACACAUUCCAGCCAAUCAGCAGCAGACCCUCCCUCCCAGACCCUCCCACCUCCUGGACAGCUCACUAAGAAUUCAGCUUCACAAUGGAUGCUGUCCAGGAGGUCGGAGGGUCUUGGAGGGAGGGUCUGCUGCUGAUUGGCUGGAAUGUGUCUG